rnacentral:lncRNA from 1 species
AGUCAUACCUUUCUGCUCUUGUCAGACAAUUAAGGGGUCUUUGAAUACUUCAGCCCUAAUAAUUUGCUUCCUAACAUACAUAUUGCAGUGCUUACCUAAUUUUAAAUAUUCUUUUGUUUCAACACCUAAUUUUCUAUUUUGAUCUAUCUUUAUGUUUACAAUAUAUUUUGCUCUGUGUUCAUUCUUUGAUUUCAGAACUUCAAUCUUUCUGAAGCGUGUUUUCAGAGUUUCCUUUGAGUUUCUUUAGUGGAAUUCUGCUGGUGGUGUUUUGUUUUUUGUCUCUAAAUAUGUGAUUUAGCCAUAGGUUGAUGAAUAUUUUUCUUGGUUGAGAAUUUCAGAAUGGCAUUAUUAUUCUUAACAAAUAAUAUUGUUUAUUUUACCUUUCAUGCUUUCAGAUUUCAAUAUGAUUAAAGGUAAUUUGAUUUUUCUAGUGCUAAUUGAAAUAUUUUUCCCUUCCUGAUUGUUUACUAUUUCUCUAGGAGAUAUGUAGAUGUAGGUUUAUCUCCAUCGUAGCUUGCUUAGCAUGCAUAGAAGUUUUGAAUAUGUGGAUUAGUGUCUUACAGAACUCUAGAGAACUUUCAGCCAAAAUACCAUCACAUAUUGUCCCUUCCCCGUUCCCUUCCUCUAUGAGAACACUCACUAAACACAUGCUACACUUUCUCACUGUAUCUUCCAUGUCUCUUCAUGAUUCUGUCCACAUUGUGCCUUUUUUUAAAUUUUCUGUAAUGCAUUCUGAAAUAUUUAUGAGCUCUCACCAUGGCCAUGUCUAAUCUGAUGAGUUCAUUUUUGAGUUUUUAAUUUAAAAUACUAUAUACAAACUACUUUUCAAAUUUACUACAUCAACUUUUUAGUCUCCUAAAAAUAUAUUCCUUUUUUUAAAUUUUUUGAAAGCAAAUGUGCUUUAUAAUCUAACAGUGAUAUUUCUACUAAUGAACCUCUGUGGAUCUGUUUGUACUCUUUUUCUGCUUUCCUUUCAAAUGGUGGAAUAUCAUUUCCUUGCGUACUUAGAUGCCUUUGAAUGACAAAGAUUUAUUUUUCUCUGAAAAUUAUUAUUGUGCACUUUUGCAUAUUAGUAAGAAGAAAAUUUGCCAAAGAGAAUUUGAAUUUUUUGUGAGUCUACUAAAGGCACCACCAUUCUGGGACCACAUUAUAUUAAUUCUUGGCCUAAAGGUGUUUGGACGUAUGUUUGGACAGCACAUUUAAACAAUUUUUAAAUUAAUUGCUGUAAAUCAUUAAUGAUUGAGUUUCUUUAAAUCUGUCCAAUCUCAAGUCAUUUUUAUUUGCCAUUUCCAGGGAAUGUGAAAUGAGACUAAUUUACCUCUGAUUCUUCUUUAUACUGAGGAGAUAAAUUUUGGUGCUAGCUUUAGGGAAGAGCUCCUGUGUGAUGCCCUAUCUUGGGAAACACUAUGUAUUUCUUUACUGUCCUAUGUGAUGUAUGACCAUAGGAAUCUGCACUCAUUCAUUUUGCUACAUGUCCGUAGGGCAAAAUCAGUAUCAGUGUUUAGGUGUAUUUUGUCUGCUCCCUGCAUUCCCAUGGUUUUAACCUUAUCUUUUACUUUUUUUUGUGAACAUACCAAUGCUUCAAUUUUUUUCCAGUAAUAUAAUCAACUAUACUAUAAGAGAAAAAUUUCGAUAAAACACAAAUUUCAUGUUUUCCUACUCUAAUUGGCUUUUACGUAAAAAAUACAGGUAAAAUUUAUUUGUGCUUUUUUGCUAUUUCUGUUUUGCUAUUUUCUGUUUGUCUAUGUCUUCACCACAUAGACACAAUUAGGGAAUUUUGUACACUCUUGUGCCAACUGCUUUGACAGUAACAAAAUGUAUUUCUCGAACUCCUAGGUAUAAAACUCAAGUAUCCACUAUUUAAAUUCUUUUUUGCUCACUUCUAGUAUGUUUCCAGUCUCAAUAGAAAUCGAUGCCAAUCCAGAAAUACAAGCAUUAUUCUAAUACUUCUCACACAUUACUGGAGUGAGGACACAGCGAAAGUGAGACAAGGAAAAGAGAACAAAAUAAAACAGGAAAGACAGAAAAGCCAAUACCACACGUGUUAAGAGUUUCAAGGAAAAUAUGUUUGGAGUUCCUGGCAUAGAGAAUGUCACAAAGACAUGUUUUCAAUAGUAGUGCUAUCCCGAGCGCAGAGAAGACCCAAAGAAAGCCCAAGUGGCUGCUGGAACAAAAUCAGACACCGUGCCACCUGUCCACACUCCUUGGCUCUGCCAUCAUGCUGAAGAUCGCUUUAAAGGACUGGCUUCCCUCCCCCCAAAAUUAAAAGAGCACAGACUGAGAAACUGAAUGUGGGAGACAGCAGUGGAUUAUGCUGUUCUCAGGGGUCACCUCAGGUUUGGAAGCAUUCUUUCAAAUUAACCCAUCUCAGGCCAUCUGCAGAGAAGAAAGGUGGUACCUAACUUUUUUUCUUGUCGGCAUUUGGUAGGGGUGUUUUAUUGACCAAAUAUGUUCCCACAACCUCGUUUUUUGUGACUAACUAAAUAUAGUAGAGUUUUAAAUUUUAUCAUCAAAAUCUAUAGACAAUUUUUGAUGAAAAUAGACUCCAUCUCUAUGUCCUGCUUUUCUUCUUCUUAUUAAUUACAUUGCUGUAUAAAAGAACAAGACUUCAGCAUCAAGAAUAUCUUGUCUCUUGGCAUUGAAUUUAUACAAGGUGCUCUUUCUUUAAUGCUGUCUCAAAGGACAUAUUUUUACUCAUUAAAAAGGAAGAUCGGAAUCUAGUUGUAUGCACUGCUCCAACAUAUUAAUAAUUAAAAUUAGGAGGUAAAUGUGGUCAAAGCUAUAGAAAGACUGAGAUGUCAUUUACAUCGAUUACUCUAUAGCACUCUACAAACAGAAAUUGUUAAAUAAUAGUUUAUAUAAAUAUUUUGUAGCAUUUCAAAUAUUUGAGUGCUUGAAGUUUCUCCUCUUUUAUAGUUCAGAUUAUCAAUUUGAAGACUUACUCCGCUAGUUAAUAUGUUUUUAGUCUCGUUUGAGUAUUAUAUAAAAGCAAUUUUCAGUUAAAUGUGUUCCGCUUACAUAAAACGUUACAAAUUAUUGAGGAUUUAAUUACUUAUUCAUGUUCCUGUAAUGUCUUUAGAAGAUUUUCUUAUUAUUACCUAUCAAUAUAUGUAUGCUUUGUCAAAGAAAAAUCAAACAUAUAUAUCAUUGAAAUUGAAACUUUUUAAAAGUACUUAUUAAUUCUAUUGAAAAACCACAUCCAUAGGAACAAUUACAAUAUAAUAUUGUGAACAUGUAAACAUAUACCCUAUGUCUAUUUUAUGUAUAAGCAUGUAUGAUUAAAAAUAUAGUGAAGAAUUUUUAAACCUAGUAUUAUAAAGUAAAAAUUAGUUAACUUCCGAUGAUUAUUUGUUAAUUAAGAUAAAAUUAUUUUGAUUUGGGUGAUUUUAAAUAAAGAAAAAUAUUAAAUUACAUGACAAAAAUUCUUUAUAAAAUGUUUAUGAUUUUUACAUUGGUUUUAUCACUUUUCCCACUAUUUUAUUUUAAGAUGACCUGCCUUGUUUAAAACACUGUAUUCAUCUUAGUUAAAUUAGAUUCCAUUUGUAAAAUAAUUAACAAAUGAUUUGCUCUAUUGUACAGUGCGGUUAUAAACUGAGUCAGUAUCUCAAGAUUUGAUCCCCAUUAUCAUCAUCUGUGGCCCUAUUUGUUUUAUAAAUGUAUUGUCUUUUUCCAUGCCUGUCACAUCUCUAUUGCUCUUUCAUUUUUCUCUUUGUCCCUUAUAGGGAGCAUUGCCUAUCUCUAGAUUAAGCAAAAGUUGCAUCAUAAAAAAGCACAAUAACCUGCUCAAUCUUUCUCACACAGAGAAAUGUUUGUUAAGUAAUUAAAGUGUAGAUGAUGAUACAAAGAGCUUGAUUAAAUUAGAUGCCAAAGUACCCUUGUGAUUCAGAAUAUGAAUGGUAUUUAAUUUCUUUGAAAUCAUUAAUUGCUGAGUGAGAUUAAUUAAUGCCAAUAUUCCAGAAGAUGUUCCAGUCAGUAAAAUGUAUACAACGUGCAAAAGAUUCAGAACUCUGAAGGGCAACAUUAUUCUAUAAUUAAGAAUUAAGAAUUAAUUCACAUUAAUUACUGGGGAGAAAUACUUUUUAAGAAUUAAUGACUGAGAAAAUGUUUUUAUUUUUUAUUUAGAAAAUUAUUUUGUGCAUGAGCAUUACCGCAAGUUUUGCAAGAAACAUAAAUUUAAAGAAACAAUUAUGUGCACAAGAUGAAUUUAAUAACAUCUUGAUAUAUUCCACGAUUGCGGUUUUAUUUGGUAAAUCUUUCAAGGCACACCAUUUAAAGAGAAUAAAUGAGUCUUGGAAAUCUUGUAGGUAAGGGUAAAUAUUAGGAUGCAUCCAGUUACAUUUACACACACAUACAGUUACAUUUACACACACAUACACGCAUACAGACUGAGUCACGUGUGUGUAUAUAUAUAUAUGAAUUUACCAAUUGAUGUUAACUAAUAUUUAUAAGAGCCAGUUGGAUUGAUAUAUAUUGUUGAACCUGAAAAAUAUUUAUUAUAUACAUGUUUAAAAUACAGAAAUAAAUAGCAAUUGCACUAGGCAUUUGAAACUGUACUAAAAUAUAAGCUGUGAACAUUUUGUGAUCAUUACAAAUUCUUACACUGAAUAAAUAUUUUUAUUUUUACAAUAUUAA